GACGUAGGGCGCAAGCGUUGUCCGGAAUUAUUGGGCGUAAAGAGCUCGUAGGCGGUGUGUCACGUCGGCCGUGAAAACCUGCAGCUUAACUGUGGGCGUGCGGUCGAUACGGGCAUCACUGGAGUUCGGCAGGGGAGACUGGAAUUCCUGGUGUAGCGGUGAAAUGCGCAGAUAUCAGGAGGAACACCGGUGGCGAAGGCGGGUCUCUGGGCCGAUACUGACGCUGAGGAGCGAAAGCGUGGGGAGCAAACAGG
rnacentral:rRNA from 1 species